GCCCGCCUAGCUCAAUCGGAUAGAGCGUCAGACUUUUAUGGAUCUGGUGCCACCAACAAGAAAUGAAAAUCUGAAGGCUGCGAGUUCGACCCUCGCGGUGGGCU